UACGUAGGGUGCGAGCGUUUAAUCGGAAUUACUGGGCGUAAAGUGUGCGCAGGUGGCUUCGCAAGUCGAGUGUGAAAUCCCCGGGCUCAACCUGGGAACUGCAUUUGUGACUGCAUGGCUAGAGUACGGUAGAGGGGGAUGGAAUUCCGCGUGUAGCAGUGAAAUGCGUAGAUAUGCGGAGGAACACCGAUGGCGAAGGCAAUCCCCUGGACCUGUACUGACGCUCAUGCACGAAAAGCGUGGGGAGCAAACAGG
rnacentral:rRNA from 1 species